rnacentral:rRNA from 1 species
GACGAACGCUGGCGGCGCGCCUAACACAUGCAAGUCGAACGGAGUUAUUUUCUUCACUCCGAGCUUUUUGCCAGUUAGCCGGAGCGGCAAUCGGUUUUGCCCAGCAUAAAAAGCAAAACCGAUUUAGGCUCAUAAAGUAAGACUAACACAGAGGGCAGAGAGUUGGGAGUGAAGAAAAUAACUUAGUGGCGAACGGGUGAGUAACGCGUGAGUAACCUGCCCUGGAGUGGGGGACAACAGUUGGAAACGACUGCUAAUACCGCAUAAGCCCACGGCCCGGCAUCGGGCUGCGGGAAAAGGAUUUAUUCGCUUCAGGAUGGACUCGCGUCCAAUUAGCUGGUUGGUGAGGUAACGGCCCACCAAGGCGACGAUUGGUAGCCGGACUGAGAGGUUGAACGGCCACAUUGGGACUGAGACACGGCCCAGACUCCUACGGGAGGCAGCAGUGGGGGAUAUUGCACAAUGGGGGAAACCCUGAUGCAGCGACGCCGCGUGGAGGAAGAAGGUUUUCGGAUUGUAAACUCCUGUCGUUAGGGACGAUAAUGACGGUAC